UACAGAGGUCUCGAGCGUUAGGCGGAAUCACUGGGCUUAAAGCGUGUGUAGGCGGAUGUCUAAGUACCUUGUGAAAUCCCACGGCUCAACCGUGGAACUGCUUGGUAUACUGGACGUCUUGAGCCAUCUAGGGGCUACCGGAACAAAUGGUGGAGCGGUGAAAUGCGUAGAUAUCAUUUGGAACGCCAAUGGUGAAAACAGGGAGCUGGGGAUGUGCUGACACUGAGACACGAAAGCCAGGGGAG
rnacentral:rRNA from 1 species